rnacentral:rRNA from 1 species
CAGCUCUAAACGAUGCGCGUUAGGUGUAUCGGUGACCACGAGUCACCGAGGUGCCGAAGGGAAACCGUGAAACGUGCCGCCUGGGAAGUACGGUCGCAAGGCUGAAACUUAAAGGAAUUGGCGGGGGAGCACCACAACAGGUGGAGCCUGCGGUUUAAUUGGACUCAACGCCGGGAAGCUCACCGGAUAGGACAGCAGAAUGAUUGCCGGGCUGAAGACCCUGCAUGACUAGCUGAGAGGAGGUGCAUGGCGUAG